CCAUUAUAGUGCUAAGCUGGUCAAUGCGUACACAGGCCCCCCUGCUCACACAAAACAGGGUACAACACAUACAGCAUGAAGAAAAUGGAAACGGUGUGACUGGCAUGUGAUAUAUGGAAUCCCCUUCAUGUCUGGGAGCCACAAGCCUUUUUUCUGGCCCACUUCCAAAACAGGUAUGCAAUACUAUUUCUUCAUCCCCUCUGCUAACAUAUCAGUAAACUGGAGAGAGGUUAAAUUAAGUAUGUAGGCUUUAUUGCUAGCGCAUCAGCAUGUGCGAAUAGUCCAUUAUGAUCCAACACUAAAGUGUGAGACCGCUGCAGUCACUCAUGGGAGAGGGUUAAUCAAAGCAUACCGUGCACGUGCUGCAGUUGCUGCCAGGAUAGCAGGAGAACCUUCUGUAUUAGGGUUCUCCUUCUGUAGCUUGUCAAUCAAUCUAAUAUAUUUCAAAUCGAUACUGUAUGCUGAUUGACUACUUGGAGUAUCAAAAUACAGCUAGUAUUUAAUUUAUGACCACAGACUAGAAAAUACAUACAUUACAAUAAACAAAUGGCUGCUCUCACUAGAAAAUGCAGACUUUUGGGACCAAAACUUUUGCUCUGUUUGGUACAUAAUAAGUUGGUUUAUUCUGUAUUUUGUGGCUUUUUUUUGCAGUUUGAGGGGGAAGUAUUAGGAGAAGGAAGCCAAAUAAUUUUUGGGGGAUUCCAGUGGUAGGAGAGUGGGAUACACAGUCUAUUUAAAUGACUAUUGGAUAUGCAGCAUUUAAAGUUGUUUAAGUCCGAAGUUUAAGAUUUUGGAGGGAAAUGGUUAAGAAGGUGACAAGUGUAACAAGGCAUGGGGGAAGGGGCUUCAGCCAUGCAGGUUGAAAUUUGAGUUUAAGCUGACUUUGGUUGUUUGACUCUUUCAUUGUGUUUUUCAGUUGAGCGAUUUUUAAGGCUAAUGGUUCGAGAAGCACAGAACAAGUGGAAACGGAGCAGCCUGAGCCCUUUAAUGAUUGCCAUCAUUCAGUGGAAGAGAGCGGAGGACAUUAGCUGGACCCAUGCUGGGGACAGAGCCACAGAACCACACACAGGUUUACACACUGAAUGAGGCAGUUCUUUUCGCACAGUUAGGUGUUUUCAAGGAAGAUCGACUCUAGAUACAGCUGACUAAUUUCAGCUAAUUGCAAGCUGUAUGGGUCAGAGCAUGGAGACCCAGCUUCUGCAUAGUCACCACAACAUCCAAGGCUCCCCCACCAUGCAGGACUCCCCCACCCCACUCUGACUUAUCCAGGGCCUAAGACAAUAGGCCCACAAUGGCAG